ACUUGAUUUUUAAGAACUUCAUU
rnacentral:siRNA from 1 species